CGGCCCCUCCUCGGCGAGCCAUGCGUGCCACGGGCAGCUGAGGAGCUGCCGGUCGCCGCUGCCAAGUCUCCACUCCGCUUUUGUCUUGCCCUCCAGUGAAUGGGAAGAUGGAGAUGGAUGUUGAGGGAGUUUCUCCGCGCCCGGAGCCCAUCCCCCGCUCCCAGGGGGCUGGCGGAGCCUGCCAGGCGCCGCCACAGCCGCCCCAGCCCCAGCCGCCGCCGCAGCAGCUGGCUCAGGAUGAACUGCCCGGCGAGAGUGCAGGCGCUGAGGACAGCGACGAUCCCGAGACGAGACCCAACGGCGAGAAAGGAGAGAGCAAGUAUUUCAGUGACAUCAUCCACUCAGGAGAGUUGGGGCGAGGCUGGCUGAGGUUCUCAAGGAGCUGA
rnacentral:lncRNA from 1 species